CACCAGGUUGAUUCUGCCUCAACGUGGACGCUAGUCUCAUAGAUUAGCCAUGCUGUCGUAAGCGAAGCGAUUAGUGGAGCGGCGGACGGCUCAGUAACAGGCAAGUAUUUGAUCUCCAUAACCGGACAACCUCAGGAAACAGAGGGGAAAACGGAUUAAGAGCAUGUGAAGAGCAUGUGAUGAUAACUCUAAGAGUGAUGGAGAGUAAGAAGUCAGCCCAUCAGUUAAUAUGUAGGGUAAGGGCCUACUUAGACGAAGACGGGUACGGGGGAUUAGGGUUUGAUUCCGGAGAGGGAGCCUGAGAGAUGGCUACCAGGUCUAAGGAACGCAGCAGGCACGAAAAUUACCGAAGCCCACGAAGGGGCGGUAGUGAAGAGACGUAAAAACAAGGAUGAGUAAAUAAGAUCUUGGUAACUGGAGGACAAGUCUGGUGCCAGCACCAGCGGUAAUACCAGCUCCAGGAGUGUCUAUGAUGAUUGCUGCGAUUAAAAGGUCCGUAGUCGAAUAGGAAGGCCCGUCUGUAAUGUGAAAUAUCAAGUUUGAAUGAGGACGGGAAGAACUAUGAAUAAGGAGCGAUAAGAGGCUAGAUUAUUGUAGAGUGAGGGGUGAAAUCUGAUGACCUCUACAGGAGUAACAGACGCGAAGCGCUAGCCGGGAGCGUAUCCGAUGAUCAAGGACGUAGGCCGGGGUAUCGAAAACGAUUAGAUACCGUAGUAGUCCCGGCAGUCAACGAUGCCGACACAGUUGGACAGAGAUGUGUGACUGAAGAGAAAUCGAGUAGGGCUAUGGGGAGAGUACGUGCGCAAGCAUAAAAUUUAAAGGAAAUUGACGGAAGAGCACCACAAGGAGUGGAGUGUGCGGCUUAAUUUGACUCAACGCGGGACAACUUACCAUCGCGGAUGGCCGGGAGAGUGUAGUACACGAUAGGUCAAGGAGUGGUGCAUGGCCGUUAUCGACUAGUGGGGUGACCUUUUGGUUAAUUCCGCUAAGUAGUGAGAUCUCUGGGAACCAAUUUAUUGGUACGACAUGUGUUAAAAACACAGGAAGAAAGAGGCAAGAACAGGUCAGUGAUGCCCUUAGGCGUGAUGGGCUGCACGCGCACUACAGUGGUCACAACAGAGAAUUAGAAGAAAUAAAUGUGAUCGAGAGGGAAUGAGCACUGUAAUGUGCACAGGAACGAGGAAUUGCUAGUAAUCGUUGCCUCAUUAAGGAGCGAUGAAUGAGUCCCUGCUCUUUGUACACACCGCCCGUCGUUAUCGAAGAUGAAACCAGGUGCGAACAAGCUAAAGCGAGUGAGUGCAGGGUUUUAGAUCUGAUACAAGUCGUAACAAGGCAGCUGUAGGUGAACCUGUAGCUGGAUCAAUAAGAAAAAUUAAUAAUGAACGAAUUUUAUUUUAAACCAUACUCAAGGGAUCGUUAGGCUCUCCAGACGAGGAAGGGCGCGACAGAAAGCGAAAAGCAUCGGAAUAGUGAUUAUGACGAUGUGUGCCUGAAUAGUGUCAUGACGACAUGAGUACUCCUUGGAAUUAAGCAUAUGAGUAAAGGAAGGAAAAGAAACCAACAGGGAUUCCCAUAGUAGCGGCGAGUGAACAGGGAAGAGUCCACAAGUGUAAUCCUAGUGUAAAUUAGGAGAUGUCGCUCAGAUGGUUGAAGAGAAGUAGUUGGGAAACUAUGCCAUAGAGGGUUACAGCCCCGUAUCAGAGACCUGGAGUGUGUAUGAGUAGUUGUGCUUGGUAAUGCACGAUGAAGAGGUGGUAGUGACCAUCUAAGACUAAAUACGAGGAGAGACCGAUAGCGAAGAAGUAGGACGACCGAAAACGAGAAAUUGAGUGUG
rnacentral:rRNA from 1 species